AGUUUAACUGUCCUAAAGGGUUGUUCGAGACUAGAACGUUGAUAGGCAGGGUGUGUAAGCGUUGUGAGGCGUUGAGCAAUUGCCCGUGAGGCUUAACCAUACAACACCCAAGGGGUUUUGUA
rnacentral:rRNA from 1 species